rnacentral:lncRNA from 1 species
UAUUUGUUUUUGGUCCCAUGCAUCCCUUCACAUUUUUUCUCAAGACAGAUGAAUAAACUACAUACAGUCUUUGUGGCUUGCAGUUUUUAUCUUUUGCCUAUGUGGCAUCAUUCUGUAGAAAAUCCCAUCAACCUGCUUUACUUAUUCAGCUUUAAGUCUCUGUCCACACUGUUCAGUGCACAUAUUCCCUCUCUCUGUUGAUAUCCCACUGUUAGAAUAGGCCACAGUCCAUUGUUUUUGGGUCUCUCAUUGGCCGAUAAUCCUUUGGCUCUUCCAAAUGCUGCAAUAACACUUGGCUGUAUCUCUUGAAGCACAGAUAACAGCUCCUUCAGGAAAGAGGCUUUCAAACUGUCUUAUGUGACCUGUGGAGGAAAACUGAUUUUAUAUUAUAACUGUACAUAUCUAGUUUUCCAAGAGUUCUAUGAAAAAAAUGCCUGCUCUAACUCCCUCGGUGUGCUCUAUUCUGUUUCAUUUCUAAACGCUGACCUUGACCCACUUAACUAGGUUUGUGGCUCAUGAUGGUUCCCAUCAGCUGAUAAAGGCCCUAUUCCCACCUUUCCAUUCAUUGGACGGAAGUGCUGGGUGCAAGGAGCGCAACCUCCACCGCACUCCAUCUGCCAAGUGGUUUUCCUCUCAGCAGUUAGGGACUCUGCCUCCAACAGAGAACAGGACUUUCCACACGUCCAGAAACUUUCAUCUUGGGCUAUCUGGUGAGUAUAAAAUAAUAUUUCACUGUAAUUUCACUUGACACUUCUCUAAUGAGAUUGACCAAUGACUCAUGAGGCAAAGCAUCUUUUCAUGGGUUUCUGGGCCAUGUGCACUUGCUCUUUUGUGAAAUGCCUUUUCAUGCCUUUUACCCAUUCUCCUAUACUUUUCUUAUUGAUUAGUGCAACUUCAUUUUACACUCUAUAUACACCUACUAGUUUCUCCUGUCAGUGGGCCGUCUUGUUCUAUUACUGAUUUUUGGUGAUGUUGUUGAGUUGUUAUAUGAUUUGUGGUUUUUUUGCCUUGUUUGUAAAAACCUUAAAACCAAUUCAUACACACAGUCUCGUGCCUGCUUGCCCUGCCCUCCCCACCACCUGGAAAGCAAAUUCCAGUCCUCAGUGAGAUCAAAAAGCCCACAGGAGGAGCCCUGGGUGUCUCCCCAGCAGGCAGGUGACUCCUGAGCCUGAGUCAUGGUUAGGACGUCAGGGAAACAGGCUGCUUCUCCCACCAGAGGGGGACACACGUGUAGGCUGAAUCCUGCACAGUCCAGUUCCUUAAGCCUCCCUCUGUCAGGAGCAUCAAGAAAACAGGCAACACUAUGGGAGACUACAUGCUAUUCCUUUUAAAGCCCCAAGAGGGAGAUGUGGGCCAGUAGAAGUGAAAGGAGACCUCAUCUAACAUUUGAUAGAGGAGGGAUUGUUACCAAUGUGGGGUGGAGGCCUGUUGAGGCCCUUUGUCACUAUCUCCGGGUGAUUUUUCUUCCCCUUCCAUUUUGACUCAAGAGAUGGGGAUACCUUACUGAAUAGAAGAGAUAUAUAUAUAUGUUCUACUGCCUUCUGGAAGCUGUGUGCUUGCAACAGCCCCUUCUGGGAGUAACUCAGCCAAGCCGAUAGUCAUAGAAACCAGCAAUUCUAGAAUCCAUGUACAAAACAUAGUAUCUCCACCCUACAACUGUGUGUGCAUGUUCAUGAGAUUGGGAAAGUUGGUGCAGACAGGAGGGGUCAUCUGGUUGGGGUGUCACUGAGGGAUAGAGUUGUCUACAUGGACCAAGUGACCUGGGCACAGAGCAGGGCUAUGACAGUGGUUGGUCAGACUUAAUUUUUUAAUAAUGGCUCCAUAGCAACACAGAUAGAAAAUAGGGAAGGGGUGUCUUGCUGUGGUCAAGGCCACCCUUCGCCUACUCCAGCUGAUACUACCACAACUCCAAGUGUCCCAGAAGGAUGUGUUGGAGCCAAAUACACCCUGGCCACCAGCUCCAGCACCCUAGUACUGGAAGUGUUAAGACACACCUCCUUCCUCCUCAGGGAUCUUCUUGGGAUAGAAGAAGAAGAAGGCCACCCACACUGCCUUCUGUAAUGGGGUCACAGGAAUGAGAAGCUUUGAGACAACCACUCUCUCACGCUGCACCUGCAAAAGACUGUGCACUUCCCACUUUAAAAAACGAUGAGCUGAAUCUCAUUUCUACAUCUCCAAAACAGUGUGACAACAUGGAACAGGACUUUGCCUAAGUUUUGACUGAGAGCACACGUGCUCCAAAGAAAGGUGCUAACCACGCAUUUCUGGGAUCCUGCCAUUAGCCCCAUGCCCAACUCCAGGCCUUACCCCCAAGCACAAAUUUGGCAGGGGACCUGUCAGUAGAAGAUGGGCUUCCAGGACUGGGAAGAAGUAUCCUGAGCUAUAGCACCCACUAGCCCAUUUCUGCUGCAAGAACAGACACACAGCAUUCCUGAAAGAAAUGGAAAGCAUUCUAGAUCUGAGCGAUGUGGACAUGACUCCCUGGAGAAGCCAGGAAGAGAGGAGAGAAGGGCUGGAGGCUGGCAUUGUCAGGCAGAGAAGAAGCUGUAUGUGCAGAAAAUGUAGAGUGGCAAAGAUGUGUGAGUUUUCCCAAAGCCAAAUGACACUGACCCUCAAGGUAUCAGGUAUGAGUUGCUCCAAAGGACCCUGACUAAGAAGGCAGGCUUCUUCCAGGUGAUGUGCCUCUGCCAUCAUAGCAAAGCUAGGAGCUGAGGAAAAGACAGACAUCAACCAGAAAAUGUGGAAUCCAGCUUAGGAAAUGUGCAGAGGGACAGUCCCUCUACAUCUUCAAAGAAGACCACAGAUAUCCUCUCACUUACCGCUCACUUCUGGCCUUGUGGCAAAGUCACUCUGAGAAAUGACAUAGGACAGCCAGGAGAGAAAGACCAUCUACAUCUGCUCUACAGAAGAGCUGAGGCUUUUCCCCCUCACCUCGUUCCCCAUUUGUAACUCCUCCCUCACCUGCACUAGCCUGGCUGGAUCAACUCUUGAAGGACAUGAAAGCACAGCUCCUUUCUUAGCUUGGUCUGUGCUGGUGAGGGCAGGAGAUUUGGCAGGACAACAGGACACACAUUCUUAUUUCCAUUUAAACUAGACUUCACUUCCUUGCAUGCUUGAUUUCCCCAACUUUUAUGAUAAUAGUUUUCUUUUUUUUCCCCAUAAUUAUUUUAUUUAAAACAAUAAUAAAAACUCCAUUAAUGAAGCAAAUCUUGUUAGAAACUAAUUAAGAAAUCUUGGUAGAAUUCACAUUGGAAACAGUUUGAAUUGACAAUUCUGAUUGCAUAGUAGUAAGAAACUAUCUAUCAUACAGUAAUUAAAGAACAUUCUAAAUCUUACCCUUCAGCUGUAUCUUCAUGGCUCUUUUAUAAUUUUAGGUAACUAGCUAGUUAACCAAUUCCAAAGCAAAUAUAUUCAUCACUGUAUACAAUUUUCUUUUCAUGUUCAAUAAUAUCUAGUGAUUGGUUUGCAUGAUUUAGGAAGAAUUCCUGUUCUUUAAUUUUUUUUUAUGAAAUAAAAUACAUAUAUUUAAACACAGUUACAUUCACACAGAUUAUUAUAUCAUGGAUCUUAAGAAACAUAUUAAGCCACUCCCUUUGGAGAAGUGGAAUGGAAAAUAUGCUGAGACAAAUAGGAAAUUUAUUCUAUACUUUAUCCCAUUUUGUAUGGCUUUCAUCUUUACUAUUUAGUAUUGUCUAUUACAUUUCAAUUUUCUUUAAAAAUUAGCAUUAUAUUAAAAUUGUGUGUAUUAUGCAACUAAAAUUUAUAAAGAAGAAAGCCUUAUAUACCAUUAAAUAUUUUAUAUAGCAUAAUAAAAAGAAUAACUGGUAAGAGUAACAAAAUAGUAUACUCUCUGAAAAUAAGUAAAAUGUAAAAUGCUUAAGUUGGUAAGCAUUUUAUCAAUAUCAACUAUAUUGUGUAACUAUAUCAAUAUGUCCUCACAAUUUGUUACAUCUCAUUGAUUCUUCAAUAAAGGCAUCACACCAUUCUAGGUAAUGUGAUAAACAAGACAUUAUAGACUUCACAUUUUACCAUGGAGAGAAAUGGUUAUUAAUAAUACAAUUGUAGACCUAUAUUAUUUAAUCAUACAGUUGUAUUAUUUAAUUAUAAUUAUCAUAAAUUCUUUGAUGGAGAGGAAAUCAGAAUCAGAUGUAAGAAGACUUCGGCAUUCCAAGAAUGAUGUCAAAUGACCCCCUUCAUGGUGGAUUAUGCACUUAUUUACUAUGAGAUAUAUUUCUUCUCCAGAGAUUCCUUGUUUGUGUAUCCAUUGUAGAUUUUUGGUUUGCAGUUAUUCUGAAGUUUUGAUAUAAGAGUCUGUAUGUAUACGAGAUUGUUUUAAGUUGUUGUUCUCUUAAUUGGAAGUUCAUCUCCAGUGUCCUGCAUUUGUACCCACCUCCUCUCAUAAUUUCUGAUUUUGGUGGUAUAAUUGUGCAUGGAUGAUUUCGUAUCUUUACUGUAUAUAUACCUUUACUGGUGAGUCUUGUCAUUUGUGGAAUUUUUGUUUCCUGUUGCUGUCUUUUCUUUUCUGCCUAUAGAAGUUCCUUGUUUCUCUUUUCUGUUCUGCAUCCAUAAUUUCCACUAAUCUGUCCUCCACCUUGCUUACUCGUUCUUCUGCCUCCUGUAUUCUGCUGUUAGCUGCUUCUAGUGAAUUUUUUAUUUCAGUUAUUGUAUUUUGCAUCUCUUCUUGCUUAAGUUUUAUAUCUUGUAUCUCUUUGCUCAGUGUUUCCUGUAAGUUAUCCAUCUUUGCCUCCAGUUUAUUUCCAAUGUCUUGGAUAUCUUCAGCAUCCACAGUCUAAAGUCUUUUUCCUGGAUGCUGAGAAUCUCCUCAUCACUUAGCUGAUUUUCUGUUUUUUCCUUUCUCCCUCAUCUGAGUUAUAGUUCUCUGUUUUUUCAUUUUUAAAGGUUUUUUGGUGUGGUGACCUUUUUACAGAUAAUAGAGUUGUAGCCUCUCUUACUUCUGAUGUCUGCCCCCCUUGUGGCUGAAGUCAUGUGGGGGCUUGCUGUAGGCUUCCUGAUGGGAGGGGCUGAUGCCUGCCCACUGGUAGGUGGAGCUGAUUCUAAUCCCUCUAGUGGGUGGGGCUUAGUGUCUGGAUGGGAUUAGAGACAGCUCUGUGCCUGAGGGGUCUUUAGGCAGCCUGUUUACUGAGGGGUGGGGCUGUGAUCCCACCUGGAUUGUUGUUUGCCCUGGGGCUUCUCAGCACUGACUGACAAGUGGGGCCGGAUUUUCCCAAAAUGGCCACCUCCAGAGAAAGGCAGCUGCUGAAUAUUCCAGAGAGUUUUGCCUUCAAUGUCCCUCAGUCUGUAACUGAGGACCCCAUGUGGGAUGCUGCACACGGCCUUUGUAAUGCAGGGCAGAGAGAUGGUGCUUAGAUGAACACGAUACAGAAGAGUGAAGCCUCCAGAAGACCUGCCUACAGGGUCUGCACAUGCUGGGGACAAUGCAGCACAACAUACUCUCACAAUAUGGCCUGGUUGGGCCUUGGGGUCAUGGUGUAGUGCAGGGAGAGUGAGGGGCCCAGGAAAAUGAUGGUCAUGGGUUCCUCAUCACCAAGUGGGCAAGCAUACAUAGUGUCCACACUGUGCAGUUGUUCCCACACCUGCUUCCUAUGGAGCAGCUCUCACCCAUCACAGCCCUGGUGGCCUAGAACUAAAACUCACAGGGAAAAGGACUUUUGUCCUGGUUUGCCAUUUUUGAAAAGCAAAUAUAGGAGUUUCCAUCGUGGCUCAGUGGUUAAUGAAUCUGACUAGGAACCAUGAGGUUGCGGGUUUGAUCCCUGGCCUUGCUCAGUGGAUUAAGGAUCUGGCAUUGCCAUGAGCUGUGGUGUAGGUUGUAGAUGAAGCUCGGAUCCUGCAUUGCUGUGGCUCUGGCAUAGGCCAGCAGCUGCAGCUCCUAUUAGACCCCUUGCCUGGGAACCUCCAUAUGCCUCGGAGGUUCUAGAAAAAGGCAGAAAGGCAAAAAAAAAAAAAAAAAAAAGCAAAUGUAAAACCCUCCAAAUUCUUAGUUAUACAAGAAAAAGAAUGUGUUAUAUAUAUGACUGGGUCACUUUGCUCUAUAGUAGAAACUGGCACAACAUUGUAAAUCAACCAUACUU